rnacentral:lncRNA from 1 species
UUUCAGGGCAGCUUGUUUGUACUUCUGCAGAAAAGAAACCAGCUCAUCAUGUGGGAGCGUAAUCUCUUUCAAACAGGCAGUUCCAUUAAAUCUGUGAUCCACUUGAAUAUUAGAGGGUAUAUUUCGGGGUCAAUAAUCUUAACACCAAGAGACUCUUCUUGUGCUCUAAAUGCACCAAGUGUUGCAACCAUCAUUAUGUCUAGGAGAUCCAAAUUCUGACCAUGGAAAUUUAGUUUUUUCUCUGCAAAGGAACUACUCUUUAAUCCCUCUUCUAUUACCCUCAGUUUCUCACACACAUUUUUAUGUUAUGGAGUUGAUAUCGUGUGAUUUUUCUUCUAUAAAUAGGAUGGAGUCAUUUUGCGCAGCUCACUAUUGCUGUGUGAACAAAGUUUCUAAAAAGUCCAGGUAUUCUGGUAAGUUACUCAAUAUCACUUUUAUUUUUGUGGUCAAGUUUUCAUUUACAAUCAUGACCAGCCUGAAUAUGUAUUUAAAACUUUGCAGAUACUAAAUCGGUUUUGGAAAAAGGAUCUUAUUUUAGUCCUGAAUGUUUACCCUCUCUUGUUGCAGCAGUAAAAUUGAAGUGACAUACCAGGAGGCUGUUGCUUUAAACUGGAAAGAAGAGAUCAUCAGUGAAGAGACAGCUCGGAUGGUCGAGAAUGACAGAAAGCAAAAUGUGGAUCAGCUGAUAAGGAAAAGAAGUCGAAGAAAAAGUAGGUUUGCCAAAAUCAGUUUAUACCUCAUGAACACUAGUUCCAUCCAAUUGGAAAUAAAGAAGAUGGAGUUACAGUCGAAGUU